UGCCUUGAUAAGCCGGUUGUGAAAGCCCCGGGCUCCAACCUGGGAACGGCAUCCGGAACUGUCAGGCUAGAGUGCAGGAGAGAAGGUAGAAUUCCCGGUGUAGCGGUGAAAUGCGUAGAGAUCGGGAGGAAUACCAGUGGCGAAGGCGGCCUUCUGGACUGACACUGACACUGAGGUGCGAAAGCGUGGGUAGCAAACAGGAUUAGAUACCCUGGUAGUCCACGCCGUAAACGAUGUCGACCAGCCGUUGGGUGCCUAGCGCACUUUGUGGCGAAGUUAACGCGAUAAGUCGACCGCCUGGGGAGUACGGCCGCAAGGUUAAAACUCAAAUGAAUUGACGGGGGCCCGCACAAGCGGUGGAGCAUGUGGUUUAAUUCGAUGCAACGCGAAGAACCUUACCUACCCUUGACAUCCUGCGAACCCGGAAGAGAUUCCGGGGUGCCUUCGGGAACGCAGAGACAGGUGCUGCAUGGCUGUCGUCAGCUCGUGUUGUGAAAUGUUGGGUUAAGUCCCGUAACGAGCGCAACCCUUGUCCUUAUUUGCCAGCGAGUAAUGUCGGGAACUCUAAGGAGACUGCCGGUGACAAACCGGAGGAAGGUGGGGACGACGUCAAGUCAUCAUGGCCCUUACGGGUAGGGCUACACACGUGCUACAAUGGCCGGUACAAAGGGCUGCGAGCUCGCGAGAGUCAGCGAAUCCCUUAAAGCCGGUCUCAGUCCGGAUCGGAGUCUGCAACUCGACUCCGUGAAGUCGGAAUCGCUAGUAAUCGUGAAUCAGAAUGUCACGGUGAAUACGUUCCCGGGCUUUGCACACACCGCCCG
rnacentral:rRNA from 1 species